AGCGAACGUUAGCGGCAGGCCUAACACAUGCAAGUCGCACGAGAAUCCGGCUUCGGCCGGUAGUAAAGUGGCGGACGGGUGAGUAACACGUGGAUAAUCUGCCCUUCGGCGGGGGACAACAGUCCGAAAGGAUUGCUAAUACCGCAUACGUCGGCGAGCUCUUCGGAGCACGUCGGGAAAGAUAGCCUCUCCAUGGAAGCUAUCACCGAAGGAUGAGUCCGCGUCCCAUCAGCUAGUUGGCGGGGUAAUGGCCCACCAAGGCUAAGACGGGUAGCUG
rnacentral:rRNA from 1 species